AUUGAACGCUGGCGGCAGGCCUAACACAUGCAAGUCGAACGAGUGGCGGACGGGUGAGUAAUGUCUGGGAAACUGCCUGAUGGAGGGGGAUAACUACUGGAAACGGUAGCUAAUAACGCAUACCAUAGGAUGUGCCAAUAUGGGAUUAGCUAGUAGGUGGGGUAACGGCGCACCUAGGCGACGAUCCCUAGCUGGUCUGAGAGUAUGACCAGCCACACUUGAACUGAGACACGGUCCAGACUCCGACGGGAUGCAGCAGUGGGGAAUAUUUCACCAUGGGCGCAAGCCUGAUGCAGCCAUGCCGCUUGUAUGAAGAAGGCCUUCGGGUUGUAAAGUACUUUCAGCGGGGAGGCGUUACCCGCAGAAGAAGCACCGGCUAACUCCGUGCCAGCCGCCGCGGUAAUUC
rnacentral:rRNA from 1 species